rnacentral:rRNA from 1 species
GUCCACGCCGUAAACGAUGGAUACUAGCUGUUGGGGGGCAACUUCAGUGGCUAAGCGAAAGUGAUAAGUAUCCCACCUGGGGAGUACGUUCGCAAGAAUGAAACUCAAAGGAAUUGACGGGGGCCCGCACAAGCGGUGGAGCAUGUGGUUUAAUUCGAUGAUACGCGAGGAACCUUACCAAGGCUUAAAUGUAGAUUGACCGGUUUGGAAACAGACCCUUCGCAAGACAAUUUACAAGGUGCUGCAUGGUUGUCGU